rnacentral:rRNA from 1 species
CGGCGGACGGGUGAGUAACGCGUGAGCAACCUGUCCCUUACAGGGGGAAUAACACAGCGAAAGUUGUACUAAUACCGCAUAAGACCACAGGGCCACAUGGUCCAGGGGUCAAAGGAGCAAUCCGGUAAGGGGUGGGCGUCGCGUCCGAUUAGAUAGUUGGUGAGGUAACGGCCCACCAAGUCGACGAUCGGUAGCCGACCUGAGAGGGUGAUCGGCCACAUUGGGACUGAGACACGGCCCAAACUCCUACGGGAGGCAGCAGUGGGGAAUAUUGGGCAAAUGGGGGAAACCCUGACCCAGCAACGCCGCGUGAGGGAAGAAGGUUUUCGGAUCGUAAACCUCUGUCCUUGGUGAAGAGGAAGAGACGGUAGCCAAGGAGGAAGCCCCGGCUAACUACGUGCCAGCAGCGGC